UUUGGAUCUGUGAGAAAAGAGGAUGGGGAGCAGAAACUCACGAGUAGUAGAAUUUGUGCGACAGCACGGAGCUACGGCCGUCGCCGUGGUUGUCGAAGCACCGUCGUCGGCCUCCUCGUCCGACUGCGCGGCCUCGUCGGCGGCGGGCUCCAGCGACCGGACGCAUCCGGCGCACCCUCGGCCGCUUGUACACCUGCGCCGCCGCCGAAACCUUAGCGCGACUAGCGAUGAGGCAGGGGAGAGGAUUGCGUGCUUCCCUGGAGAUGAAGUGGAGCUCCAUCUAUUGAUGUUCCACAGCAUCCGAUCUGCUCUUCGAGACACCCUCACCCUCCGCCUCCCCGACUCCACCUCCUCCUCCCUGGCCCCGACUGCAAGCACGCCUGCUCCAACUCCUGCACCCCGGCCGAACCCAAGCACUCCAACGCCGCCGACAUCAAACUCUUCCCCACACGCCCGCACACCAUCGGCACAGGUUAAAGACAAGUCAAAUGGAGCAGUAUACGUUGUUGCGGAAUCUAGGCUUGGUCAAUUGCCAGUGAAGGCCAAAGCUUCAGGAAGGAAGCAACCAUCUUAUGAAUUUUUGAUACACUCUGUUUGAUUUUUUCACGGGGUUUCAAGAUACUGCCUUUAGAGUGAUUGCGGAUAACUAUGUAACUGAUGAUAGUGGAACUGGUGUUGUCCACUGUGCUCCUUCUUUUGGUGAAGACGACCAUCAUGUUUGCCUUGCUGCUGGGAUAAUUGAGGUUGGAUUAUUUCUUCUUUACUCUAUGAAUAUCUAGAGUAAUUGAUAUUCUGCUAAGGUGGUAAGGUUGAGGAAAAAAAGGAUCAUUAGACCAGUGAAGUCCUUUUUUUAAGAAGCACGAGGCAGUAAAGCCUCCAUUUCCAUUUUUAUUAAGUGAAACCAUCAAACAACUGAUGAACAUUAGAACAACUUUGGAAGAGAGCCAUGGUAGCACCAUGCCUCCCUUUACCAGUGUUGACACUAGCAGAGCAUCCAUCAGCGCGCUACAACUAAAGAUAACUACAUGAGAAGCUUUGACAGAACACUCCCGAUAUUUCAGACUAAAGGACUGCUUUAGUAACGUUCUAAAAAUCUGGAGUAGGACAGGUAUCCAUCAAAAUAAUCCUAGAUACUUUUGAUUUGUUAUGCACUUUUGGGUUCUCCUAUAGAUCACAUAUGACAGUGUACAGAUGAUACAUUGUGCUGCCACUAGAGAAAUUGAAUUGGACAUCUCGUGUAGUCGCGUCAUGGCGUUUUUAGUUCCCAUGUUUCAUAGCUAUAAAUUGUUGCGUGGUAACGUCAAAUGCCAUUUAUAUCAGGAUUUUGUUUGUCAAAUUAGCUUACCAGUUUGACAACAGAGGUGCCCCUGUAUAUCAUCUAAACACAAGUCAUUAUCGAACUAACACAGUAUGUUUUGAUCUGAGAUUGUUAAACACAUUGAGUUGUGCCUAAAGUAUAAACGUGGUCUAGCAUUGCAUCUUGUUGGUAGCUUAGUUGAUCAAUGCAUUCCUUACGUUUGAAUUGGUUCAACGAGGACAGACUUAGUGGGUAUUCCCAAAUGGUUUGUAUUUUUUAUUUGCGUUUAUGAUCUGCGACAAAUUUUUGGGUAUAUACUUUGUUAUGU